UGGGAUAUAGCUCAGUUGGGAGAGCACCUGCCUUGCAAGCAGGGGUCGAGAGUUCGAAUCUCUUUAUCUCCA
rnacentral:tRNA from 1 species